rnacentral:rRNA from 1 species
UGGGGAAUAUUGCGCAAUGGGCGAAAGCCUGACGCAGCGACGCCGCGUGUGGGAGGAAGCCUUUCGGGGUGUAAACCACUGUCAGAGGGGAAGAACAACCGGGUUGCAAAUAGCUGCUCGGCUUGACGGUACCCUCAGAGGAAGCGCCGGCUAACUCCGUGCCAGCAGCCGCGGUAAUACGGAGGGCGCAAGCGUUGUUCGGAUUUACUGGGCGUAAAGCGCGGGCAGGUGGCUCGUUAAGUCUUUUGUGAAACUCCGGGGCUCAACUCCGGACAUGCAGAAGAUACUGGCGAGCUGGAGAUCGGUAGAGGCUAACGGAAUUCCUGGUGUAGCGGUGGAAUGCGUAGAUAUCAGGAAGAACACCUGUGGCGAAGGCGGUUAGCUGGGCCGAGUCUGACACUCAUCCGCGAAAGCGUGGGGAGCAAACAGGAUUAGAUACCCCUGUAGUCC